UACGAACGCUGGCGGCGUGCUUAACACAUGCAAGUCGAACGGAAAGGCCCUGCUUUUGUGGGGUGCUCGAGUGGCGAACGGGUGAGUAACACGUGAGUAACCUGCCCUUGACUUUGGGAUAACUUCAGGAAACUGGGGCUAAUACCGGAUAGGAGCUCCUGCUGCAUGGUGGGGGUUGGAAAGUUUCGGCGGUUGGGGAUGGACUCGCGGCUUAUCAGCUUGUUGGUGGGGUAGUGGCUUACCAAGGCUUUGACGGGUAGCCGGCCUGAGAGGGUGACCGGCCACAUUGGGACUGAGAUACGGCCCAGACUCCUACGGGAGGCAGCAGUGGGGAGUAUUGCACAAUGGGCGGAAGCCUGAUGCAGCAACGCCGCGUGGGGUAUGACGGCCUGCGGGUUGUAAACCACUGUCGCCUGUGACGAAGAGUGAAUGACGGUAAUGGGUAAAGAAGCACCGGCUAACUACGUG
rnacentral:rRNA from 1 species